rnacentral:rRNA from 1 species
UGGGUAACCUGCCUCAAUGAGGGGAAUAGCCUCCCGAAAGGGAGAUUAAUACCGCAUAAUAUGUUUAAGUCGCAUGACUUUAACAUCAAAGGAUUUUCUUUUUGAAAUUCCACUUUGAGAUGGACCCGCGGCGCAUUAGCUAGUUGGUGAGGUAACGGCUCACCAAGGCAACGAUGCGUAGCCGACCUGAGAGGGUGAUCGGCCACAUUGGAACUGAGACACGGUCCAGACCUCUACGGGAGG